UACGAAGGGGGGCUAGCGUUGUUCGGAAUUACUGGGCGUAAAGCGCACGUAGGCGGACUUGUCAGUCAGGGGCGAAAUCCCGAGGCUUAACCUCGGAACUGCCUUUGAUACUGCAAGUCUUUGAGGAUGAGAGAGGUAAGUGGAACUGCGAGUGUAGAGGUGAAAUUCGUAGAUAUUCGCAAGAACACCAGUGGCGAAGGCGGCUUACUGGCUCAUUUCUGACGCUGAGGUGCGAAAGCGUGGGGAGCAACGGGG
rnacentral:rRNA from 1 species